AACCAUAGAAACCUGCGGAGUACCUGCGGAAGGAUCAUUACAAAAAAGACCCAAGGGGUUUUUUGGGUUUCGGCCCAAGAAUACCCAACCCACCUCUUGUGCACUGUUCACGUUCGCUUUGGCAGUUGCUUUGGCUUCUCUGGAAGUCAACUUCUCGCUGGCUCUAUCCUUUUUGGACAGCUGGUGGUGAAGCGGCCUGCCAAGGCUUUUUUUCGAAAUAACGCUUUUAGAAUCUACUGU
rnacentral:misc_RNA from 1 species